UUGGCCAAGUCACCUUGAGUGUCCCAAUAUCGUUAUAUCUCAGUGGCUAAGCAGGGGUGGUCCUGGUUGGUACUGGGAUGGGAGACUGCCUGGAAAUGAUGAAUGUUGCAGAAU
rnacentral:rRNA from 1 species